AUUGAACGCUGGCGGCAGGCCUAACACCUGCAAGUCGAACGCGUGGCGGACGGGUGAGUAAUGUCUGGGACACUUCCCGGUGGAGGGGGAUAACUACUGGAAACGGUAGCUAAUCCCGCAUACCAUCGGAUGUGCCCAGAUGGGAUUAGCUAGUAGGUGGGGUAACGGCUCACCUAGGCGACGAUGCCUAGCUGGUCUGAUAUGAUGCCCAGCCACACUGGAACUGAGAAACGGUACAGACGCCUACGGGAGGCAGCAGUGGGGAAUAUUGCACAAUGGGCGCAAGCCUGAUGCAGCCAUGCCGCGUGUAGGAAGCAGGCCUUCGGGUUGUAAAGUACUUUCAGCGAGGAGGCGUUACUCGCAGAAGAAGCACCGGCUAACUCCGUGCCAGCCGCCGCGGUAAUUC
rnacentral:rRNA from 1 species